UCAUGUCAACCUGGGCGCCUGUACUGCGUGCCUAUAGUGCAUAGCUAGUCGCAAGGUCACUUUUUGUGACCCUUUAAUGGAUGGGUUAUCCAAUCCAUCCCUUUAGCCAUGUUGGGUGUGCAUGGUUGCCACAUGGCACCAUGUGGCAGUGGCCGGUCAGCCAUUUGGCCGAUCAACAACCACCGUUGAGUGCCUAUGAU
rnacentral:lncRNA from 1 species